CCUACGGGAGGCAGCAGUGGGGAAUUUUGCGCAAUGGGGGAGACCCUGACGCAGCAACGCCGCGUGAGUGAUGAAGGCUUUCGGGUCGUAAAGCUCUGUCAGAAGGGAAGAAAUGAGCUUGGCUAAUAUCCAAGUUUCUUGACGGUACCUUCAAAGGAAGCACCGGCUAACUCCGUGCUAGCAGCCGCGGUAAU
rnacentral:rRNA from 1 species